rnacentral:rRNA from 1 species
UAUGUGAUCGUCUCUCGCAUAUCAAUAAGCGGAGGAAAAGAAACUAACAAGGAUUCCCCUAGUAACGGCGAGUGAAGCGGGAAGAGCUCAAAUUUGAAAUCUUAAAGGGUUUCCCUUUACGAAUUGUAGUUUAAAGAAGUGUUUUCUGUUGAGGUUUUGGUAAAAGUUCUUUGGAAUAGGACAUCAUAGAGGGUGAGAAUCCCGUAUUUGACCUUUACUUUCAACUUUGUGAUACACUUUCAAAGAGUCGGAUUGUUUGGGAAUGCAGUCCAAAAUGGGUGGUAAAUUUCAUCUAAAGCUAAAUAUUGGCGAGAGACUGAUAGCGAACAAGUACCGUGAGGGAAAGAUGAAAAGAACUUUGAAAAGAGAGUUAAACAGUACGUGAAAUUGUCAAAAGGGAAGCGUUUGACACCAGUGUUGUUUUUCUGAAAAUCAAUUAAAGAACUGUUUAUGCUAAGCUGUUUAGACUUUAUCAGCUAUCUGUUUAGUUUUGAGCUUUUCUUUAAUGCACUUUUCAGUUAACAAGUCAACAUCAAUUUCUUUUGCUGUAAAAAAGCUUGAGGAAGGUGGCUUGAGAUUCGUCUUAAGUGUUUAUAGCCUCUUGCCUAUGCAGUCGGAGAGAUUGAGGUCUGCAGCGUAGAUCCUUCGGGGCUAAAUGCAUUUGUGCUAAGUUAUAGCAUUUUAUAGACAACUUGUUGACUAUGAUUUGUCUUGUAGCUUACUCGCUUAUGUUAUUUUACCUACGCUUAGGAUGUUGAGCGCAUGUCUCUCUCU